rnacentral:rRNA from 1 species
AAUGAACGCUGGCGGCAUGCCUAACACAUGCAAGUCGAGCGGAUGAACGGAGCUUUCUCCCGGAUGCAGUUGCGGACGGGUGAGUAAUUCCCAGGAAGCUGCCCUGCAUUUGAGGAUAACGUCCCUAAAGGGGCGCUAAUACCAUAUCCGCCCAGAGGUAGAAACUGAUGGAUCUUCGGACCUCACGCCAUCUGAUGACCCUAAGACGUAUUUGCUAGUUGGUUGGCUAACGUCCUAACGAGCCGACAUUCCGUAACUGACCUGAGAGGAGGAGCACCCACACUGGAACUGAGACACGGUCCAGACUCCUACGGGAGGCAGCAGUGGGGAAUUUUGGGCAAUGGGCGAAAGCCUGAUCCAGCCAUGCCGCGUGUGUGAAGAAGGUCUUCGGAUCGUAAAGCCCUUUUAUUGGGGAAGAACAGCUGUAGGUUAAUACCUUGCUGUUUUGACGUUACCAAAAGAAUAAGCACCGGCUAACUACGUG